CUUUUUGUUAAAAAAUUUAUUUUUUUUUUAAUUUGGUUUUUUAUAAAAUGUGAAAUAUUUAAAUAUUUUGUACUGAAAAGGUUAAUUUUUUAAAAAUUAAAAAGUAAUUAUUUGUACCUUUAGUAUUAGGGAUUUUUAAGAAAAAAUAAGAAUUUAUUUUUCUCGAAAUUAACAGAUCUAUAAUUAUAAAUAAUUUAUGUUUCAUAAUAAAUUUUAAUAUAUUUAUAGAAGUGAAAUUCUUGUCAAAGUUAGAGAUACCUAGUUAUUAUAAAUAAUUGUAUAUUCUCUUAUAAUUAUUGGUAAAUAAAUUUGUAUUAUAAGAAAAAUUUUAAGGGAUAAGCUUUAAAAGAAAUUUUUAAAAAUUUAAACUCAAAAUAAAAAAGAAUUAAAAUUUUUCUUAUAUUGUUAUAAAUAAUUAUAACUUUUUUUUAAAAAAUUAAAAUUAAUUAUGGUAAUUAAAUUGAAUCUAAUUUUUAAAUUAAGAUGAAAAUAUUAGUAAAAUAAUUUAUUUUUUCAAAAUAUUGAAAAAUAAUUAAUAUUGAAAAAUAAUUUUAAAGAACUCGGCAAAAAAAAAUUUUUCUGACUGUUUAAUAAAAACAAUGUAUUUAGAUGUAAUUAAAUAUAAAUCCUGCUCAAUGUUUAUAUAAAUUGCUGUAGUAUUUUGACUAUACAAAGGUAUUGUAAUAAGGCUUUAAUUGAGUGCUAAAAGAAUGGAAUUUCAGAAAAAAUCUUUUUUAAAAUUAAUAAUUGAAGUUAUUUUUAUAAGUGAAGAAACAAUAAUGAAAAUUUAGGACAAGAAGACCCUAUGAAUUUUUAUAUUACUUAUGUAAUGCUAUUACAUAAAUAAUAUUUAAUUGGGGCGAUUUAAAAAUAUUAAUAACUUUUUUUAAAUAAAAAUUUGAUCCAUUAAUAAUGAUUAUAUGACAAAAUACUCUAGGGAUAACAGCGUAAUAAUUUUGGAUAGAUCUUAUAGAUAAAAUAGUUUGCGACCUCGAUGUUGGAUUAGGAUGCUUAUUUAAUGAAGAAGUUAAAUAAAGAAGUUUGUUCAACUUUUAAAUUCCUACAUGAUCUGAGUUUAGACCGAUGUGAAUCAGGUUGGUUUCUAUCUUAAUAAAAAUUAAAUUUUAAUUAGUACGAAAGGAAUUUUAAAAUAAAUUAAAUUUAUUAAGUUUAACGUUUUUGCAUCAAUUUUUGGAAUU
rnacentral:rRNA from 1 species